CUCCGGUUGAUCCUGCCGGACCCGACUGCUAUCAGAGUGAGAUUAAGCCAUGCGAGUUAACGUAGCAAUACGUGGCGCACGGCUCAGUAACACGUAGUCAACAUGCCCAGAGGACGUGGAUAACCUCGGGAAACUGAGUCUAAACCGCGAUAAGUGAGGAUUUCUGGAAUGGUUCCUGACUAAAAUCUAUAUGGCCUCUGGAUUGGACUGCGGCCGAUCAGGCUGUUGGUGAGGUAAUGGCCCACCAAACCUGUAACCGGUACGGGCUCUGAGAGGAGGAGCCCGGAGAUGGGCACUGAGACAAGGGCCCAGGCCCUAUGGGGCGCAGCAGGCGCGAAACCUCUGCAAUAGGCGAAAGCCUGACAGGGUUACUCUGAGUGACUUUCGCUAAGAAAGUCUUUUGGCACCUCUAAAAAGGGUGCAGAAUAAGGGGUGGGCAAGUCUGGUGUCAGCCGCCGCGGUAAUACCAGCACCCCGAGUGGUCGGGACGAUUAUUGGGCCUAAAGCAUCCGUAGCCGGUUCUGCAAGUCCCCCGUUAAAUCCAGCUGCUCAACAGAUGGGCCGCGAAGGAUACUACAGAGCUAGGAGGCAGGAGAGGCAAGCGGUACUCAGUGGGUAGGGGUAAAAUCCGUUGAUCCAUUGAAGACCACCAGUGGCGAAGGCGGCUUGCCAGAAUGCGCUCGACGGUGAGGGAUGAAAGCUGGGGGAGCAAACCGGAUUAGAUACCCGGGUAGUCCCAGCCGUAAACGAUGCAGACUCGGUGAUGGGUUGGCUUCGCGCUAACCCAGUGCCGCAGGGAAGCCGUUAAGUCUGCCGCCUGGGUAGUACGGUCGCAAGACUGAAACUUAAAGGAAUGGCGGGGGAGCA
rnacentral:rRNA from 1 species